CCUACGGGAGGCAGCAGUGGGGAAUAUUGGGCAAUGGGCGCAAGCCUGACCCAGCAACGCCGCGUGAAGGAAGAAGGCUUUCGGGUUGUAAACUUCUUUUCUCAGGGACGAAGCAAGUGACGGUACCUGAGGAAUAAGCCACGGCUAACUACGUGCCAGCAGACGCGGUAAUACGUAGGUGGCAAGCGUUAUCCGGAUUUACUGGGUGUAAAGGGCGUGUAGGCGGGAAAGCAAGUCAGAUGUGAAAACCAUGGGCUCAACCUGUGGCCUGCAUUUGAAACUGUUUUUCUUGAGUACUGGUGAGGCAGACGGAAUUCCUGGUGUAGCGGUGAAAUGCGUAGAUAUUAGGAAGAACACCAGUGGCGAAGGCGGUCUGCUGGACAGCAACUGACGCUGAGGCGCGAAAGCGUGGGGAGCAAACAGGAUUAGAUACCCUGGUAGUC
rnacentral:rRNA from 1 species